rnacentral:lncRNA from 1 species
AGAGACAGAGAGACAGACAGAGAGACAGACAAAGCGUAAAGGAAUAAGAGAGGUGAGGGUUACAGAGAGCACUCCAUUUUCUGAUAUCAUCACUUAUUUCUCAUCCUGUAUCUUUGAGGGACACGAUGAGGCACCGAUUAAGAGACUAAUGGAUCUCAGUCAAUCUGCUGUUACUUAAUGGGAGAUAGUAUUCCCGCUACAUUUGUUUCAUGCACUUUAAGCUUCUAGAACCUCAGUAUGACAUGAAACCACUGUGCAUUUGCAGUCAUAAAAAUAACAUUAUCUAGUGGGGUAACAUUGUUAUGGAAAGAACAGGUGGAGGAAUGAUAAUUCUCUGAACACUCUAUCUGUGGUUAAGGCACUUCUAUGUUAAUGAUGGUAUUCGUAACUAUUCACUGUGAUGCAAGCACGGUCCAUAACCUAUUCAUUCCAUCUUCACAGUACUCUCACGGAGUUUUAUUCUUAUAAACUUCUUUUUUUUAAAUUGGAUAUUUUCUUUAUUUACAUUUCAAAUGUUAUCCCCUUUCCUGGUUUCCCUCCCUCACGGAAACAUCCCAUCACAUCCUCCCUUCCCCUGCUUCUAUGAGAGUGUUCCUCCACCCAUCCACCCUCUUCCACCUCCAUUUAUACUUGGGCAUCUAUGGAGCCUUCAUAGGACCAAGGACCUCUCCUCCCAUUGAUGCAUGACAAGGCCAUCCUCUGCUACUUAUGAAGUUUGAGUCAUGUGUACAACCUGGUUGAUGUCUUAGUCCCUGGGAGUUCUGGGUGGGGCCUUCUGGUUGGUUGAUAUUGUUAUUCUUCCUAUGGGGUUGAAAAACCCUUCAACUCCUUCAGUCAUUUCUCUAACUCCUCUAUUAGGGACCCCAUGCUCAGUCCAAUGGUUGGCUGUGAACAUCUGCCUCUGUAUUUGUCAGGCUCUGGCAGAGCCUCUCAGGAAACAGCCAUAUCAGGUUCUUUUCAGCAAGCACUUCUUGGCAUCCACAAUAGUGUCUGGGUUUGUUAACUGGUUAUGGGAUGAAUCCCUAGGCGGGACAGUUUCUGGGUGGCCUUUCCUUCUGUCUCUGCUCAACACUUUAUCUACAUAUUUGCUCCUGUAAGUUCCUGUUGUUCUCCUUCUAAGAAGGAUCAGAGUAUCUACACUUUGGUCUUCCUUCUUAUUGACCUUCAUGUGUUCUGUGAAUUGUAUCCCAGCUAUUUGGAGCUUCUGGACUAAUAUCCACUUGUUAGUGAGUGCAUACCAUGUGUGUUCUUUUGCAAUUGGGUUACCUCACUCAAAAUGAUAUAUUCUACUUCUGUCCAUUCCCUUAAGAAUUUCAUGAUCAUAAUUUUAAAUAGCUGAGUAGUACUCCGUUAUGUAAAUAUACCACAUUUUCUGUAUCCAUUCCUCUGUUGAAUGUCACCUAAGUUCUUUUCCAGCUCCUGGCUAUUAUAAAUAAGGCUGCUAAGAACAUAGUGGAGCAUGCAUCCUUAUUACAUGUUGGAACAUCUUCUGGGUAUAUGCUCAGGAGUGGUAUUACUGUGUAUUCAGGUAGUACUAUGUCCAAUUUUCUGAGGAACUGCCAAACUGAUUACCAGAGUGGUUGUACCAGCUUGCAACCCCACCAGCACAUCCUCUUUCUCCACAUCCUUGCCAGCAUCUACUGUCACCUGAGUUUUUGCUCUUAGCCAUUCUGGCUGGUAUGAGGUGGAAUCUCAGGGAUGUUUUGAUUUGCAUUUCCCUCAUGACUAAGGAUGUUGAAUAUUUCUUUAGGUGCAUCUCAGACAUUUGAUAUUCCUCAGUUAAAAAUUCUUUGUUUAGCUAUGUACCCCAUUUUUAAUAGGGUUAUUUGUUUCUCUAGAGUCUACCUUCUAGUUCUUUGUAUAUAUUUGAUAUUAGCCCUCUAUUGGAUGUAGGAUUGGUAAAGAUCUUUUCCCAAUCUGUUGGUUGCCUUUCUGUCUUAUUGACAGUGUCCUUUGCCUUACAGAAGCUUUGCAAUUUUAUGAGGUCCCAUUUGCAAAUUCUUGAUCUUAGAGCAUAAGUUAUUGGUGUUCUGUUCAGGAAAAUUUCCCCUGUUCCCAUGUGCUCAAGGUUCUUCCCCACCUUCUCCUCUAGAAGUUUCAGUGUAUCUGGUUUUAUGUGGAUGUCCUUGAUCCACUUGGACUUAAGCUUUAUACAAGGAGAUAAGAAUGGGUCGAUUCACAUUUUUCUACAUGCUGACCACCAGUUGAACCAUCUCCAUUUGUGUAAAAUGCUGUCUGUUUUCUACUGGGUGGUUUUAGAUCCUUUGUCAAAGAUCAAGUGACCAUAGGUGUGUGGGUUCAUUUAUGGGUCUUCAAUUCCAUUCCAUUGAGCUUCCUGCCUGUUUCUAUACCAGUACCAUGAAGCUUUAACAUUGAAAUUUGCUGAUGGAAAAAGUGAGACCUAAAAGUGUAAGUUAAGACCACUCACCAAAGGGCAUCCUCCGGAGGAAAGAAGCUUGUAUAUGAAUUAUCUCUCUGUCACUACCAAAUUUAUGUUCUUUUCAAAGAGAUAAGUUUUUAUUUGUGUGUGUGGUUGUAAGCACACUCAUGCCUACAUAGGUUAGAAAUAAUAUCAGCUCCCCAGAAUCUUGAGUUAUAGUGCUUGUGAGCACCAAGAUAGAUGCUGGGUACUGAACUCACGUCCUCUGGAAAAAUAGCAAGUGCUCUUUACCACUGGGUAAUGUCUCCAGGUCCUUUUUUAAUUGGCACCAUGUCAGGUUGUAUAAAUGCCCUUAAGCAAAAUGAGCUUGCUGUUUAACCAUUCUGACCAGCAGCAUCAGCAAAAUGGGGCUGAAAACUUUGGUUCGUGAUCAUCUUUUGCUUUAUGUUAAUUUUGCAUCUGGAAGACAGUUCAGACUGUAAAAUGUUUGCUGCGUGCACCAGGAAAGACCUGUGUUUGAUUCUCAGAGCCCAUACAAAAAUGCUAGGUAUAGCCUAGCCUACAUGUUGAAUUCUGGGUUGUUUCUGUCUCAUGAAACAUGAUUCCUGCAUCAAGGACGUCCAAAUUUAUUCUCUGGCCUCUAUAACAACAUACACCUGCACACACAGGGACUCACAGGCCUACAAACACACACAAACAUGACAUCUUUCAUUGCAGCGUGUGCUUCUGUUUUCCCUUGCUCUCUGUGAAGAAAGAAAGCCCUGUACUGUAGACCUUCCACUCUAUGACCUUCUUUAUGUGAUGACUCGGGUAAUCCCCAACAUUGCUAAACCAGUGCAUCUCAGGACAGAGCAAGCAGGAUCACUGGGGUUGUGAGAAAUACAGUUCUCAGUUCCACAUAUUUCCACAGAGUCUGGAACUCUGAGCCUCAGAAUCUAUAAUAGCCAGCCCUUCACUCAUCAUUAUCCUUGGUGUAGUAUAGACUCCACAUUGCUUACCUGUUUUGUGGUCUGUAACUUUCUUUCCCACUAAGCUCUACAGCUGCCAUUUCUUUAUUGACAUAUAGACCUGCUUGACAACAUUAUUUGCUCCCCAGAUAAUGACUUCAAGAUGCUCUUAGAAAUAUUUCAGGGACAGGUUCUCCUUGUGUGUAUGGCAGGAGGUAGGAUGGGGAGUAGGUGGGUGUGGAGUGGGGGGUUGGGGUAUGUGGGGGAGUAAGCUACUCUCGUGUCCUCAUUCCCCACCACCUGCUACCAUCUAUCUUUCAAUAUGGCUGAUGCUUUUCAAAGGCUUUACUCAUUUCUCUGCUGCUUCUUGCAAUUUUUUGUAUUAGUGCAUUGUUGGUGCUCUUAUGAUACAAUUGAGUUGAAUGCUAGGCUAUCUGAAUUCUACAGCCAGACCCAGUGAGCGUAAGUUAUCAUUCUCAGUUUUCUACCUUUAUUAGCUUGGAAGCAUUUGAGGCUCCCUGUGUAUUGGCUACAUCAUUUGGGCAGGAAUGGUAGCAGUAGCAGCUUUCUU